rnacentral:misc_RNA from 1 species
GCAAGUUUUGCCUCAACCCGCUGACGAAGGAAAGUUCGUUUCUCCGAACGGGCCCACUGCACUAUAUCUUUGCAAAGUGUAAUCUGAAGGUCAGAUGUACCCGGUAUCUUAGCCACCGCAUCAACAAUUCCUUUAUUAACAAUUUUGGCUGUUUUUGCCUUGGGUAUUAAAGAGAAGAAGGGACGCAACUGGACAAGAAGCUUUUGGAGAUCCUCAGCCCUCUUCUCUUGACUUAGGAGGUCAGAGAGAUUGAAGAUUGCCUGCUCUUUGAUCCUUAGGGCCUCAGAAGAUGAUGAAGGGUUCUCAAGGAUGCGGUAGAGAAUGGAGAUAGCCUCAGACGGGGUUGUAGCCUCAGAAGCUUGAGCUAGCGAAUCUGUGGUUGCAGGUAGAUAUGAAGAUGCCAUUGUUAAAGCUAGCAGAUCUUAAAUCCGAAAUACUUCGCCGGAGAAAGAGAUCACCGAUAGAGAGUUCAAAUUGGGGGAGUAGAGCGACUGCACAACAAAGAUGGGAAUCUCAGCUGCCGUGUACAAGAA